GAUGAACGCUAGCGGCAGGCCUAAUACAUGCAAGUCGAACGGUGUCUUCGGACAUAGUGGCGCACGGGUGCGUAACACGUAUGCAACCUACCUUACAUUGGGGGAUAGCCUUUCGAAAGGGAGAUUAAUACCGCAUAAGACAGUAGCUGGGCAUCCAGCAGCUGUUAAAGAUUUAUCGAUGUAAGCUGGGCAUGCGUCCAAUUAGCUAGUUGGUGAGGUGACGGCUCACCAAGGCAAUGAUUGGUAGGGGAACUGAGAGGUCAAUCCCCCACACUGGCACUGAGAUACGGGCCAGACUCCUACGGGAGGCAGCAGUAGGGAAUAUUGGGCAAUGGACGCAAGUCUGACCCAGCCAUGCCGCGUGCAGGAUGAAGGCGUUAUGCGUUGUAAACUGCUUUUAUACAGGAAGAAACGACUCUUGCGAGAGGCAUUGACGGUACUGUAUAAAUAAGCACCGGCUAACUCCGUGCCAGCCGCCGCCGUAAGAC
rnacentral:rRNA from 1 species